GUUACUUAUGUAAUGAGCCAUCUUACAUAUUUCAUGUAUAACUCAAUUUCUGUUCAUUCCAUGCAGCUCGGGCAAGCUGAAAGGUUGGUCACUCAACUGGGGCAUGCAGAGAUAUCUCUAUCUAGCUGCAAGAGAAGCUUGGAAAUGCAGCUUUGAUUCUGAGUACACACAUGCCCAGCAAAGAAUCUGGCAUGACAACAGAAGAGGAUUACACAUAUUGGGGCUAUGUUGUGAGGCAAAAUCAGCUCUUUGAGGUUUCAGGAAACCAAAGCCCAUCCUCAAAAAAAGAAAGAAAAGAAGUCUCGGUUUUUAAUGCGACCUUUCUUGGCUUCUGA
rnacentral:lncRNA from 1 species